AUCCAUCCGAUGAGUCCCAAAUAAGACGAAACACUCCUCCUGGAU
rnacentral:hammerhead_ribozyme from 1 species